UCCGCCGCCGUGGUAAAGGCCCAAGGGCAGCAGCGAAAGUAACGCGUGGAAAAGGGGGGGACAUCUCCGAGUCCCAGAGCGAGAGAGGACUGAAGCGGACGAGACGACGAAGGUUUUUUGCUCCCAAUCCCCCACCCAAACACAUCAACGUCGCCGCCGCAUCGUGCUCAUCCAGCUAUCCCCCCUCCAUCCGAGCCCUUCUCCCCCACGGCGGGGGCUGCGGCUGCGGCUGCGGCUGCGAGGCAUUCGGAUGGCGGGCACCGGCCGGAGCGCCGUGCUGCCGGCGACGGACGAAGCUGUGAAGGCCGGCCGGCCGGGCGUGGGGCCGACGAAGAGGGCCAGGGAUCCGGCCAACGCCAAGGAUCUCAACGGUUUUGUUGGAGGGUUUGCUGCUGAGAAGAAACCAACAGUGCAGGCCAAUAGCAACAAGAAAUAUCAGAAGAAAGGUGGGAAUGUUCUUGUAUCACAAAGUUCACCAGAUUCUAAUGGUUUGAGUUCGCAACAAAGAUUUGGGAGUUCAUCUCCUGGUGGAGAUCUGAGGAAUAAAGCCAGAAAACCGACCAAAAUAUGUAUCUUUUAUGCUCAAGGGCAAUGCAAUAAUGGGACGAGUUGCACCUUUCUUCAUAAAGGAGAGGUAUCUGGUUCUGAUAACCAGGGUUAUGAACAUCAUAGAGGCACUGGAGAAGGAUCUCAAAUGCAACAUUUAUCCGACUUCAAAGAGCUCCAGCUUGGAAAAGUGGGCUUGUUCCAGAAUGAGAUAAAUAUAACCCUUAUUCAUGCAUAUGGUGAAGAUAACAAGGGGCUGUCACAUCCCCUUGUUAAACAUAGUCCUCACACGCCAAAGGUUUCACAUGGUUCCAAAAUUGAUGGUUCAUUGACUACAAAGCCUACUGAUGAGGUGGUUCAGUUUCCAGUAGUUCAAGAGAAGAACCAUGGACCUUAUUUCAUGGGACAUCAAAUUAGUUUGAACAAUAACAGCUGUUUGGAUGAUAGGGGUGCCACCUCUAGAUUGCGCCUGGAUGGAGGAAAUCUGCAGUUUGAUAUGGCCAAGGGAGGCAGUCCAAGGGAUUCACUUCUCUCAAGAUCUUACCUUGAAAUGAACCCCUUAAAGCCUGAUUAUCGGUAUCAACCGUUUGACUCAACUAUUUGUUUUGAUCCUCGCCAAUAUAGCAAGAAGUUAUCAGCUUACGUUGGAGCAACAGAGAAUCUUCCUUGCAAAUAUCAGGAAGAAAAAAGUUCAAGACAUGCCUCAUACAACUUGAAUUGUUUUACCGGAUUCAGAAACCCAAGCUAUGACAGCUCUGAUUAUUCCUUGGCUAGUCAAUCUCUUCGAGCAACUUCUCACUCGGGAACCCUUCCUCUUCAUCGAUUAGCACCUGAUAAGGAUGGCAGCCACCAUAAAGAUGCUGAUAUUGACAAGGGUGUUACCUCUAGGUCUACAUUACAUGUGAGCAGUUCACCUCAAUCUGUGGUAGCAUCGCCUGGGAAACUUUCCCCAGUCAAGGAUGAGGUUUGGAUAACUUCAGUGCCUUUUGUACCUUCUUUUGACUUACCUGAUUUUCUUGGCAGUGCAUCAUCUUCAAAAAGUCAGUAUGAGCCACUUGUAGACAGAAUCGACCCUCCCAAAGUUGAAAGUUUAAAUAAUCUGAAGUCCUCAAACAUAUCCUGUAGCAUUUCAAAUCAACAUGGAGAUACGAAUGCUAUAAGAGGGAGGAGUCUUGAAAAACCAUUGACUUGUGCUGACAAGUUGGCAAGGAAUGCAUCUGCUAAAGGAUCAAAUGAAUUUGUAGGCUUGAUUUCAUAUGAUAGGGGACACAACUCUAGCCUAGAUGAUGAUAAUAGGGUGAAAACCUGUGAAAGGAAAGAUGUUGUAUCACUUAACGAUGAGAAAGCAGACUUCCGUUUUCAUUUGGUGGAACAUGUUAAGGAGCUGGUGAAACCAAUCUGGAAGGAAGGCAAUCUGAGUAAAGAUGCUCAUAAGCUAAUUGUAAAAAAAUCUGUUGAUAAGAUUUUUGCUUCAGUUGAGCCAAGUCAGAGACCAGGGACUAAAAAGUUGAUAGCUACUUAUAUAGAAGCCUCUGCACCAAAGAUAGAGAAACUUGUGAAGGCAUAUGUUGAUCGUCAUCGGACAGCAUGAGAUCCAAACUUUUGAUUUCUGAGCUACAAAUACAGAGGAGAUGGGGUCUGAGCCUGUUGUCCUACCAAAGAGCAUAUUGCUGUGCUAGAUGUUUCCAGUAAGUAUGCAGUGUAGCCAAUCUUACAUGGAGCUCAUCGGCACUAACAAGCUUUAACCAAUGAUAAUAUCCCUUGUUCUCCUUGUAAGGUAUACUUCUCAUAUGGCAUACUAGAUAUUUUAUGAAUUGUUGUAACCUUAUGCAUCCAAGCAGCAUUCUUUUAGGGUUAAUUGGAUCCAUGACAUUAUAGAUUUUCCCGUUUCGAAAAAUAUCGUUACUAUUCACUUAUUUGGAGCCAUGCCACUACAAUUUCACACAUUCUUUCAGCACAUAUUCUCUUUUUUUUUUUGACCAAAUUGCCUGUCUUCUUCUUCACCCCCUUCAUCCUUCCACUUCUCUCCUAUUCUAAUCCAGGGACCACAAGGCCUCCCCCAAUGGCAGCGAUACGGGUUGGCCCAUUCGAGGGCCGCACCUCCACUGCCGAUGCCAAAUAAGCGAAAUUGUAAUUGCACAUCUCCAACUAAGCAAAUAGUAAUGGUAUUUUUCAAAACGGGCAAAUUUAUAAUGGCAUGGAUCCAAUUAACCAUUUUUAAUGUACUUUCUAAGGUGGUCAGUGAUGCUAUACAGGGGAAUUCACAAGAUAUUUGAUAGUGAUCCUUUUGGUAUUAAGUAAUGGUUAGAUUUGUUAUUCCAAAAGAAAAUUUAUCAGGUGGGAAACUUAUUUCCUGUUGACCUACCGGAGUUAAUUGGCUUGGAAUUACUGAAAUCUCGUAGAAGUUUAUGAACUUGAAGUUCAGGUUCCUCUGCGUACAAGUCAACCAAACUUAUCAAAGAGAACAUCAUGACCCGUCUAAGAUGAAUACUUAGUGCUGAAAUUAUACACUGAGAAAUGAUUUUGCAGGAUUUUGGUAAGAUUGAUAUCCAUGGAAAUAUUUUAAUUAAAUGUCUUUAAGCAUGAUUUGAUACAACUAUAAAUGCGUACAGGUCAGCUUUUACUCCACUGCUUUCUAGAUAUAGAAUGAGUUUCUAGAGUUGUCUUACCAUAAUGGCAUUCUUAAAGAUCCUAACCAUUUACUGUAAUGGUAUACUGAGAACUGAAAAUAUGUACAUCUAGUUUAUUUAUUACCUGAGUUGUCCAUGUUGAUUUUGUAACACAGAAAUUGCACGAUUUCCCCCUGAAGAUGUUUAUACUUGAAGUCUGCAUGUAAAAAUUAUGCUCCUUCAAUUUACAGAUAUGCAUGCCAUCGUUGCUUCCAAAAUUUGUUGCCAAAUGCAUGUUGCUGUACAGUUUUGAGUCUGAUUAAGUGUUGUUAUUAUGGUUAACUUCUGGUUACCCAUCACAUGGUGCUAAACUGCUAAUUAAGAUAUUCACUGUGGGUACUAUAGUCUUUGCAGUCAGUCAGUGCUUGUGUGCAAUGUGCUAAAUAGCAUGUUUGUGAGUAACUGGAUAUAGAUGAAAUGCCAAUUACACUUAGAAAAAAUUCCAAUGAGAUUCUAACUCCAGAUAUGUCAUCUGUUAUAGUGCUAUUAUAGUGACUGUUCCAGAAUUUCAAAUUCUCUCUCUAAAAGAAUAUAAAACUAUUAUCGAAUACUCACUCUGUCCCAAAAUGUAGCCACCUAAUAUGGGAUUUGACCCAUUUGCAGGUUCGUAGUCCUAAGACGGGUCAAAUACCAUCUUAGGUAGCUCCAUUUUGGGAAGGAGGGAGUAGUGAUAUUUUCCUCAUUACAACUCACAAAAGUACAGUUAUCAUGCCGUAGUGAUUAGGCCAUCAAGUACGGUUGUUAUCUUAAUUAGUAACUCUAAUUUGAUGUGUACAACUUUUCAGGCAGCAUGAAUUCUAUGUUUGAUCUGGUUAUGCUAUGAGUGGAACAUUAACACUAAUGAGCAUGCUGUUGAUACUAGAGUAAUAUGGCAUCUUGCUGCCUUCAUAUCCUUCCAAUAAUUCUUCGUGAAGGCACAUAACAUGGUACUUGUUUGUGCCAAGAUGAUUCAAUGUUUGUCAAGCUCUCUAUGAAGGCACAUAACAUUGGUUCAGUGAAAUCAGUUUCCUUUGGCUGCUAAAGCUGGCUGACGUUUUGGUAUUGUGCGUGUUCUGAGAGACGUUGCUCCUAAGAUUUCAGUGAAGUUGAUGCCAAUCUGGAGUCUUUUUCCGAACUCAACGGAAGGCUAAGAUGGCCUGCCUGAAUGUAUUUAUUCUCAAUGGUAGCAGUGCUGAUGCAAAGCCCAAGCACAGCCAUGAAAAGUAUGAGAUUGGGAAGUAAAAAAGAGUACAAGGAAAUUAUGUUGCAUCUCCUUGUUGAAUGUUGAUGACGGCAGACAAAGUUUGUAGGUUCUUGGGUGUGCAUUGAAGCCAUGUUUUGAUGGUGCAAAUUUAUUUUCCCUUCAUGAUAUGAUAUUGGUUGGUAGAGUUGGAGAGAGAUCUUGGAGAUCUCUCAGUUCUUUGGAUCUUACCUCUACUUCAGUUCAUGGGUUACUAAUAUAUUCAGAAACAUACGCCAAUCAUGUACGGAAUAUGUAUGUAUUCAUAGGCAAGUAAUGCAUUCAGAAAAUUCUGCAAAGAGCGUUUUUCGUGUUUCACUGGCUUCAGUCGGUAAUGGAAGUGACUGUGUUUACACCCCAUCUGAUUCAAAACAAGAUAACUGCAUAGAGA